UACGAAGGGGGCUAGCGUUGCUCGGAUUGACUGGGCGUAAAGGGCGCGUAGGCGGUUCGUACAGUCAGACGUGAAAUUCCUGGGCUCAACCUGGGGGCUGCGUUUGAUACGUGCGGACUUGAGUGCGGAGAGGGUCGUGGAAUUCCCAGUGUAGAGGUGAAAUUCGUAGAUAUUGGGAAGAACACCGGUGGCGAAGGCGGCGACCUGGUCCGAUACUGACGCUGAGGCGCGAAAGCGUGGGGAGCAAACAGG
rnacentral:rRNA from 1 species